rnacentral:rRNA from 1 species
CCUACGGGAGGCAGCAGUGAGGAAUAUUGGUCAAUGGACGAGAGUCUGAACCAGCCAAGCCGCGUGAAGGAUGACUGCCCUAUGGGUUGUAAACUUCUUUUAUAUGGGAAUAAAAUGGUCCACGUGUGGGAUUUUGUAUGUACCAUAUGAAUAAGGAUCGGCUAACUCCGUGCCAGCAGCCGCGGUAAUACGGAGGAUCCGAGCGUUAUCCGGAUUUAUUGGGUUUAAAGGGGGCGUAGGCGGAUUGUUAAGUCAGUUGUGAAAGUUUGGGGCUCAACCGUAAAAUUGCAGUUGAAACUGGCAGUCUUGAGUACAGUAGAGGUAGGCGGAAUGCGUGGUGUAGCGGUGAAAUGCUUAGAUAUCACGAAGAACUCCGAUUGCGAAGGCAGUUCACUGGACUGCAACUGACACUGAGGCUCGAAAGUGUGGGUAUCAAACAGGAUUAGAUACCCCAGUAGUC